AUUAAAAAAAAAAGCCAAAAAUUCAUUCAUUCAUUCAUUGCUUUCUCUCCUAACCUCGCCCCUCUCUCUUCCUCUCUUUCGCUCACUUCCUAGAUUCAGAGUAUUUGGUUGCUUGCUCGAAUCCAAUUAUGCAAAAACAGAGGCUUCGAUCCAUAUGAAUUGAGUUAAUUCAUGGAUUGGAUUGAAUUGGUUUGUUUCUGUGCUUAUUCAUCUUCAGUCAUCCAUAUGAAUUGGAUCGGAAUAGAUCCGGUUCGAGUAAUUGGCGAUAUGGAACGGCGGCCGAGCACCGGGUUCGGGUGCAGAAGCGAGGAGAGCUACGAUGCCCUCAUUUGUGAUGAAGGAUUGAAAUCGGACUUUUUCGAGUAAUUGGUGAUAUGGAUGGAUCCGUAUCGCCAAUUACUCAAGAAAGUUCGAUCUCAGGCCGUGUUCGGGUGUAGAAGCGAGGAGAGCUCCUUUGCCGUGGGUGGGUGAUAUUCCGUGUUUUGAAUUGGAUUGAAAUCGAUAUGUUUCGAGUAAUUGGUGGUAUUCACGAAUUACUCGAAAUAUAUCGAAGCCUAAUAUUGGUUAUUGACCUUGCAUAGUGUGCAUUGAACCUCGAAUUCUCUGCGAUUUCCAAUUUGAGUCAAAAAUUGAAAAGGAGCAGUAGUGUAACAGCUGAUAAUCACUCCUCUCCAUCGCCAAAUCUGUUCUUCGAUAUCUGAGUUCAGCUACUGAGCUCUCCGUCGUCGUUUUCAAGCCUGAUCGGCGGCGCCACGACGGAGCCUUGACUCCUCUAGUCCGAUCUCCGGCGGCGAAGAAUCAAAGGUUAGUCACCCAACACGAAUUCUUCACUCGGUUACGGUGUUAGGAGUAGCUUUUUGUGUUAAGGGUCAUCCUUAUUGUACGUGAAUUAGUGUAAAGAUCCAAUUUUUUUGUUAUUUGGAAAUUUAGAAUUGUUACUUAGGUCCUAAUUCUGUGUUCAUGUUUGUCAAUCGAAAAAUCUUGCUUUGUUAUUUGGAAAUUUAAAAUUGUUACGUAGGUCCUAAUUCUAUGUUCAUGGUUGUCAAUGGAAAAAUCUUGUUGAAGGCAUUCUAUGAUUAUCAAAUGUUUGAUCUAUCUUCUCUACCUCUCUCUUUGUUGUAGCAAGUCCUAGUAACACCAAUAGUUUGUCUUUGUAGUGAAAAAGAUUUAAAAAAUUCAAAUUCAAAAAAUUUGGCCUAAAAAAGUUGCAUCCUUUACAUACAUCCUACUUGGUUCUGUUACAGAGCGUUACAUAGCGUGUUAGGUGUAAGUGAUUUAGUUUAAAGAUCUUCGAUUUGGAAAUUUAAAAUUGUUACUACUUAUUUUGUCCUAAUUGUGUGUUCAUGGUUGAGACUCUUGUAAAUCGGAAAAUCUGGUUUUGCUUUGUUACCAUUGAAGUUAGGGUGGUUUAGGUGUAGAAGCGAGGAAAGGUACAAUGCCUCAUUUGCCAUGGUGAUAUACUAUUAUGUGUUCAGUUGGAUUGCACUGAAAUCGAUCUGGAUUUGCGGCCGAGAGCCGAGUUCCGCUUUAGAAGUGAGGAGAGCUAGCAUGGGUAAUGUUCAAUUGGACAGAAAUCCAACUAUUUCGAGUAGUAAUUGGAUUCACAGAAGUAUGCCGAAGCUCUUAAUGAGGUGAUGUUCGAGAUCUUUGUGUUUCCCGAUUUGUGAUUUAUUGCAUCGCCUAUUUGAUUUGCUUGGAUGAAUAGGGAGUUUAUGUUGCUAAUCAAGAUACUAUAAAUAUUUUAUUGGAAUGAACUUAUAUUUUGAUUUAUACAUGAAAUUGAAAUUGAAUUGGAAUUAGUAUUAUAUUGAAAUUGAAUUGGAAUUAGUAUUCUACUGAAUUGAACCAUUUAUUAGGUAAAAUGACAUAAUUGAUAUGUAGUGUGUUUGUGUAUAUAGUGUGUGAAAGUAUCCAAUUAUAACUAUUUGGAACUUAAAUUAGUGCCGAAAAGAGUUACUUAUAUGCCUUAGCAUAUACUCUAGUUUUGCGUGGUAGCUAAUAAGAUACACAAUAUCGAAGGCAUAUACUUUAGUUUACUAUAUAUACCUUAGCAUAUACGUUUACAUUAUAGUAUGCCUUAGCAUAUGAUGUAAAUAAAUUAGCAUUACUAUACAAUCCUAGCCCGAAUGUACAUUAGUAUGUACACGUUUAUUAUACAAUCCUUAGCAUAUAAUGUACAUUUAGCGUUGUUAUACUAAUGUACAUGUCCCAAAUAUGUUACUCUAUCGUCAAAUAGUUUACAUUUGACUUAGCAUAUACUCUUGUUUUGUGUGUUAGCUAAUAAGAUAAUAGUAAUAUAAUUUAGCAUAUGCUCACCUUACCCAAAAGUAACAUAUUUGGAAUUUAAAUUGUGGAAUUCCGAGAAAUUGGAAUUGAAAUUGAAGGCUUCAAUUCCAAUUCCACAUACUCAAUUCCAUGAUACUGAAUGAGAAUCUUAGUGUAAUUAACUUAAUAUUUUAAGUGUAAUAAGGGAAAACUUAAUUAAUAUUAAUAUUAAUUGAAUAGCCUAAAUGGUUCUUUAAAUCGUGGAUUGGGGAGUACAUUAUUACUAUUACUCCUUCCGUAUGACUAAUUUAGGUCUACUUUUGUUACACGGACUCCACAUUCCACUAAUUUUAGGGUUUUGCACAAGUUUUAAUGUAAAAUUGAUAAAGUAAGAGAGAUGUAGAAAGAAAAAACAAUUUGAGUAUUUUUAGUAGAGAAUGAGACCGACCUCAUGAGAGAGAAAAAAUUACCAGAAAUGGAAGAGGACUAUUUUUGUGGGACAUCCACAAAUGUAAAAAGAAGACUAUUGUUAUAGGACGGAGGGAGUAGUAUUAUAUAAAACUAAUACUUUAAAUGAGACCCAUGGUCCACUCACAUUUUCCAUCUACUUUUUUUUUCAUGAAGUCGUACAAUUUUUUAAAACUCGUGACGAGUCAAAUUGAUUCUUUAAAUCGUGGACGGAGAGAGUAGCACAAAUAUAGAAAUUUGAAUGAGUUUGGAAAUAAAAUCCCUAAAAUCUAUAAACUCGAUACAAUAUGAGAUUUGAUCACAGCUCAAGCUCCAGAUAAAAGCUCAAAAUCAACUCCAAAGAAUACACACCAUGGAAACACGGCGAAGUUGAAGCUCCCACAUAGAAGAGAUCGUACCUAACAUGGGCACCUCUGAUUGACUAGCUGGAAGAGGCUCUCCAUUAGCAACACGUAUUUGCCACUCCAAGAGAUCUUGACUAACAAUCAUCUCGGUAACUGGAUGCUCAACCUGCAGGAAGGUGACAUUUUCUGCAUUAAGAGAUAAUUUAGGCAUUGAAUACAGAGAAGAGAUGGCAUGGAGUGAUCUACUAUGCUCUAAACCCUAAACCCUGAACCCUCCAACCUUCUUCUCACACUUUAAACCUCUCUCACACUAAUGUGAGUUUAGGCGCUCCUGGAGAUCUGUCAAACCCCUCUUCCUCCUCCACCCUCCUUCCCGGUGCUGCCUCCACCCUCCACCCCCUCAAAAUUGCGAUUCCAUAGAUUGAGUGAGAGCAGCAUCCGGAAUCGACAAUCAUGGCCGAUCGAGUACCUCCACUCCGUCGUGAUGUAAAAUUUGAUCCUAAUUUGAGCAAUAAUCCAAAAUUUAGAAAGGCAACCACUUGUUUGCUGGUGACAAAUCCCGACUGCAUUCCCCUUGUCCGAAAUCAAGAAAGGACAUACAUGUGUUGGGGAUUCGGCGCCACAACGGUGAUGUUUGGAGAUGAGGUUGCGAACAGGGACAAGAAAUCUUCUCAUAUGGGCUCAGUCCAGGAGCUCAUGGAUUAUACUUUCCGUUUCAUUCGGCCUCAGAAUGCUUGUCCUUCGUUUGCUGGAGAUUCGAGGUCAUUUGAUAUCCCACUCAAAGGGUUUCCGGGUAGUUUGCCCCUGGCAUUUGAGUAUGUCAAGAGGUUUGGCUUAACCCCAGAAGCAAUUUAUCCGUUUGCUGGACGCUCGUCAGUUGAUAAAUAUACACCUCCUGCUGAUGGUUGGGAUGGUGUCGUGAAGAUAGAAAAUCGUAAAAUCAAAGAGGAGGAAAAAAUUAGGAUUAAAAACUAUAGAAGGCUAAAUACCCAUUAAGAUGUUGAACGGAUGCUGUAUAAUCAACCAGUAGCAGGUGGUAUUGCGAUCACAGCGGAAUUUAGGAAAUGUCAUAAUUGGAAAAUUUUGAAAGAUAUACCUAUGUUGCCGACACGUCCCGUUGUACAACCACUGUUGGAUUUGAAGACCAAACCUAAGUUGAACGUGUCACAUCAUAUCAUAACACUUAUUGGUUUUGGCCAGAAGGGCAAAGACAAGUAUUACAUUUUUCAAAAUUCAUACGGCCUCAAUUGGGGCUACACGGCAGGAUCUUGAGGGACUUGGUUUCAGAUUUUUACGUUCCUAUGAGUACAAGUAGUCCAACUGACACUUCCGGUUCAACUUCAAGGAAGAAAAGAAAAAGAAAAGUUGCAGAUUAGCAUCCCAUCUACCUUAUGUUUUUGACUCCGAGGAGCGGUGAGGUUGACGCCAAUAUCCUCAAUAUCCUCAAUCUCUCCUCUUUUCCGUUUACCACAGCCACCGGAAUCUGUUCAUCCUAUUGGGAAAUUUGGGUUUUCUUUGAUUUCAGAAAAACUCUUAGCUUUGUAAUGAUAUUGUUUUUUUCCUUUUAUUACUAACUCUUGAAUAGUUGGAUUGGGCCGAGAGCAUGAGGAUUUUUUGUAUGAUAAAAAUGAUAUGGGCAAUUCGUAA